rnacentral:tRNA from 1 species
GCGCCCGUAGCUCAAUUGGAUAGAGCGUUGGCCUCCGGAGCCAAAGGUUGUGGGUUCAAAUCCCGCCGGGCGCACCA